AUGAACGCUGGCGGCGUGCCUAAUACAUGCAAGUCGAGCGAACGGACGAGAAGCUUGCUUCUCUGAUGUUAGCGGCGGACGGGUGAGUAAUACGUGGAUAACCUACCUAUAAGACUGGGAUAACUUCGGGAAACCGUAGCUAAUACCGGAUAAUAUUUUGAACCGCAUGGUUCAAAAGUGAAAGACGGUCUUGCUGUCACUUAUAGAUGGAUCCGCGCUGCAUUAGCUAGUUGGUAAGGUAACGGCUUACCAAGGCAACGAUGCAUAGCCGACCUGAGAGGGUGAUCGGCCACACUGGAACUGAGACACGGUCCAGACUCCUACGGGAGGCAGCAGUAGGGAAUCUUCCGCAAUGGGCGAAAGCCUGACGGAGCAACGCCGCGUGAGUGAUGAAGGUCUUCGGAUCGUAAAACUCUGUUAUUAGGGAAGAACAUAUGUGUAAGUAACUGUGCACAUCUUGACGGUACCUAAUCAGAAAGCCACGGCUAACUACGUG
rnacentral:rRNA from 1 species